GCCUAGCUGGCUCAGUUGGUAGAGCAUGUGACUCUUGACCUUGGGGUCAUGGGUUCGUGCCCCACGUUGGGUG
rnacentral:tRNA from 1 species